rnacentral:rRNA from 1 species
CAGUAGCCGCGGUAAUACGGAGGGAGCUAGCGUUGUUCGGAAUUACUGGGCGUAAAGCGCACGUAGGCGGUUAUUCAAGUCAGAGGUGAAAGCCCGGGGCUCAACCCCGGAACUGCCUUUGAAACUAGAUGACUGGAAUCUUGGAGAGGUCAGUGGAAUUCCGAGUGUAGAGGUGAAAUUCGUAGAUAUUCGGAAGAACACCAGUGGCGAAGGCGACUGACUGGACAAGUAUUGACGCUGAGGUGCGAAAGCGUGGGGAGCAAACAGGAUUAGAUACCCGCGUAGUCCCUGUCUCUUAUAA